rnacentral:lncRNA from 1 species
CUUUGCGUCGGACUGUGCACGAUCCUGGUGGUCCUCAUCGUCCUCCUCGGCGUCGCGACGCUCAUCACCUAUUUAGUCCUGCGUCCACGCACCACGCACUACGACAUCGUCUCCGCCAGAGUUCCUGCCCUGGCCGUUAGCGGCACCACAUCCAGUCCCACUUCCACGUCAACUGUCACUGCAGAAUUCACCUACGGGGUGCAAGCACGCAACCCCAACGGCAAGGUCGUCAUGGAGUAUCAGAAAUUCAACGUUCUCACCACGUACCUCGGCACAGACAUCGGCCACAGCAGCGUCCCCGGGUUCAUCCUCGGCGAAAAGGGCUCAUACGUAUUCCAAGUGACCACCUCUUCUGCCUACACAAAUGGUCAGGUUAAUAACAUCGUCGGCAACACAUUGAAGGCCGACAUCGCGAGCGGCUCCGUCAACGUGCAAGUUAAGAUUGACAUUAGGGCGCGAGCGCAUAUCGGUGGUUACACUUCCUUUUGGAUGUGGCUCCACACUCUUUGCCAGGUGACUGUCAUUCCUCCGUCAGGAAGCAACCCCGGAGUAUUUGUGCGGUCGAAAUGCUCGGAUUAGUGUUUCUCAUAGAUCUUAAUUUCUUGCCGUGCAAUACCAAUUUGGAGAUCAGCUUUAGAGAAUCAAACUGCCGAAUCAUGUACAGCAUCCCUCUCUAUUGCUCUUCGUUCACCUCGCGUCAGUAGACACCAUAGCUGUGAAAAUUCUGUACAGUUGCUGAAACGUCCAUCAACACAUUUUAUGAAGGUUUGCAGUGUUGUAACGAUCGGAUUCCAGAGCCAGAUGACGUCGUCGUCGUUUUGGGAAGGAUUCUGCUACUGGGCUGGCUGUCGAUCGAGUUAAAUGCUAGUUGAUUAAGCCAAAAUAGAAGUUGUUAUUGGUGGAACUUAGGAUCAAACCGUGGGUUGUCCAUCGUGGCCUGCGCAAUGUGAUUGUGUCUGCAAUCUUGUAAAAACGCUCGACACCCAACAGUGUGAAAAAUCUUAUUUGUACACCUACCACAUUCUCGUAUCGGUUCCUGCGAUGAGCAAAAGCGUGGACCCUUUCAAAAGCAUCACUAGAAAAAGUGACGACGAAACGGAAAGUGCAAAAUAAAUUCUAAUCUGCUGCUGGAGUUGUGAACCCUAACAAACGGAAUCAAUCAGUCAAUCAUAAUAAUAAUAAAAAUAUACUUGUGAGUUGGCGUGGAUGCCGCAAAGGGCGCCGCAGUGAUGUGGUUCAACGACAUUAUUUCUUCUCGGGAGGAGGAAAUUCAUUCGCGGUCCCACUCUCUCCGAAUCCCCGGAAGCAUUGGUUCGUCUCGAGGAUGUGUAUAUUUCCAUGUUCCUUAUGUUUCGUUAGCUUCUCCUUCUUCAAAUUGUCAUGUCCAAACUGUGAAUCCUGAGCUGUGCCGCUCAAACCCUAAUCGAUGGCAAAUGACUAGAGCAUGUGGUAGAUUUUUUACUUUGUUGUGGAACUUCUUUGGUGGUGAACUCACUCGGGUCCUUGCUUUGCUUCUACGAAAAGAAAUUGUUUUGUUAAGUUUGGAAUUGAAUAGUUUACAUUGUAUUUGGAAUAUUAUCAAGAUAAUAUAUUGAUCAAUUUAGAAAAAAAUUAUAGUAUUGAACACAAUCAAUUAAUGUUUAUUAUUUGCAAUGAAAAAUUGACGUCAGUCCAUUAGUAUGUAUAAAGUAAAGAAAUUCAAUGAUGUUUUGUUUGCAAAUAUCACUUUGCAAAGUGAUAUUGGUAGUAGACAGAUGUUUGAAGACUAGAAAUUAUUAUUAAAUGAUUCUCUAAAAUAUAUAACAGACUCUUAUUAUUAUUAUUAUUAUCUUACUUAUAUAUAUAUAUAUAUAUAUAUGUGUGUGUGUGUGUGUGUGUUUGUUAUAUAAAACAGUUGAUGGGGUCAAAUACACUGAAUUAACUGAGGAGAUGGCCUUUCUAUACUCACAAUACUGAGCAAUGUAUUACACAGUUGCCACUCCCUGAACAACACUCAUAAUCAUGGUCAUAUGGUAGUGCAAAUCAUAUGGUUGUGCAAGCACCAUAAUCAACACCAACAGCAUAAUCAUCAACUCAUUGCAUGAUUGUGCUUUGAGCUUGCAUUAUUAUCAUGCAUUUCAAUGUUAUCUUUUGAUACAAUCAACGUUAAUCAUCCUUGUGAACAGUUUUUGUUCACUUUUUUGAUAAAAACAAUGAGGCAUGCAGCUUAUCAGAAGGCCAUUUUGUCUCCCCAGUUUAUUCCCUGUAUUUGUCCCUCCCUGUGCUGUUUUAGAUAU